GUUUUUGUUUGGCCGCCAGCAGCGGCGGCGCGCUUUCCUCGUUUUUAGCAAACUGUUCACAUUAUAUACAUGAUAAUCGCCAUAUUUUUUGCUACCCGGUUUAACAAUGAAGUGAAAACACCGAGUCUGCAACACCCGAUAAGAAUACAUUUGCUGAUCGAUUGCAUGUGAAUAGAACGGACAACUGGAAACUAACAGUAAAUGGUUAGAAACCGAAGUUUUCGGCUAAACAAAAGCCUCUUUGGACUUGAGGUAAAAAUCGCAAAGUUCCAAUGAUAGCCGGAACGAACAACCGCUGAUGGAACCAAUAAACUGGCACAAAACAAUAGUGUUAUCCGCAAUAAAUAACACAUUUUACGGUUCAAAUAUUACAAUUUACCGGUGUUUAUGACAGACUGGCGGCAUGGCACACAACACGAUCAUAUAGAAAGGAUCACGAUAUCACAGAACCAUAAAGAUAACACAGGUAUUAUGAUAAUAGAUUCGUAAUUACCUCUAGA